rnacentral:rRNA from 1 species
UACGGGGGGGGCAAGCGUUGUUCGGAAUUACUGGGCGUAAAGGGUUCGUAGGUGGCCAACUAAGUCAGACGUGAAAUCCCUCGGCUCAACCGGGGAACUGCGUCUGAUACUGAGUGGCUUGAAUUCGGGAGAGGGAUGCAGAAUUCCAGGUGUAGCGGUGAAAUGCGUAGAUAUCUGGAGGAAUACCGGUGGCGAAGGCGGCAUCCUGGACCGAGAUUGACACUGAGGAGCGAAAGCCAGGGGAGCAAACGGG